AAUAGGCUAAUUAAGAGCGUAAGGGGAAUGCCUUGGCUCUCAGAGGCGAUGAAGGACGUGAUAAGCUGCGAUAAGCUGUGGGGAGUGGCACAAACACUUCGAUCCGCAGAUUUCCGAAUGGGGUAACCCGGCAUAUUGAAGAUAUGUCACACUGUAAAGUGAGCGAACCUGGUGAACUGAAACAUCAAAGUAACCAGAGGAAUAGAAAACAAAAGUGAUUCCGCUAGUAGUGGCGAGCGAACGUGGAACAGCCUAAACCUAUGUUGUUAAGGCAAUAUAGGGGUUGUAGGACCUCAACAUUUAAUGCUAAUAGAACUAGAAUUUACUGGAAAGUAAAACC
rnacentral:rRNA from 1 species